rnacentral:rRNA from 1 species
UACGGGGGGGGCAAGCGUUGUUCGGAAUUACUGGGCGUAAAGGGCUCGUAGGCGGCCAACUAAGUCGGACGUGAAAUCCCCGGGCUCAACCCGGGAACUGCGUCCGAUACUGGGAGGCUUGAAUCCGGGAGAGGGAUGUGGAAUUCCAGGUGUAGCGGUGAAAUGCGUAGAUAUCUGGAGGAACACCGGUGGCGAAAGCGGCAUCCUGGACCGGCAUUGACGCUGAGGCGCGAAAGCCAGGGGAGCAAACGGG